UCGUGAUAGUUUUAUUUUUACUUGCAAAAAUAUUAAUAAUUUAUUCAUUAUAAUCAAAAUCCAUUAAAAGAAAAUCACAAUUUUUGAAAAAAAUAUCUUCUCCUCCUUCACAAAAUAGGCACAAUGUUUGAAAAUAGUUCAACGUAAUAGAAAAACAAUAAUUCAAUGAAACAACACACCAAAAAGCGAAUCAAAACUAAACUAAAAUGUUCAAAAUAAGAAUCAAAACAACCAUUGAAACAGCAUAAAAGAAGAAUACAUAAGAGAAAAACUUGGUAAGGAUGAACAGAAAUGAACCAGAACUAAGCGAUUGAGAAAGAACGAAGGAGGCGCUAGGUUGCCGGAGGGUGGAACGUCGGUGGUCUUGGGUGAUGGCAAAGUCAGGAUGGAUUUGGAGCUUUGAGUGAAAGAGUUAGAUUGAAUAGUAAGAGACAACAGAAGUGAGUUUAGAAACAGAAACAACAAACAACAACAAAAAAACAACGAGGUCCAAGCGGUAGAUGAUGGGCCUCUUCAAAUGGAAAUGUAUUGGCCUCCAUGAGUUUUCUACUUGCCGCUCC
rnacentral:lncRNA from 1 species